ACACUCAAUAAUGCAAGUAGCAUUCCCUUUUUCAAACUUUCCUAUACUCUUCGAAAUACUUUACAUUUUCUCCACCUACCCAAAACUUCCUUUCAACAAUUGGUGAUAUUCUAAUAUCGACUUAAUCUUGUUUUAAAUUAUGCAACUUCAUCCUAACAGUUGAAGAUGAAGUUUAUUCAUUCGGCAAAAAAAUUUACGGUGCAAUCUGAUUGGUCUCUUGUCAGAGUUGUAUUUUUAUUUUCAACGACCGUGAUUUCCUUGAUUAAAUAUGUUCCCAAGGCAUUGUUACUCAACGAGUAUGAUCUUCACAGCUGGAAAACCAAGGUGUGUGCCUGGAAUGAAGAAAUAUCGUGGGAGAAACACCUACGUAUUGGAGUCCAGGAGGCCAUCUCCAGUGUAUCGCAGAACUGGUUAUAGUUGAUAUUCAAAAUGUAAUGGAUGCAUUUGCAAGUGUUGAUAUUCAUGUCUUCCAUCACAUUGCAAAUGAAUUCACAUGUGAUAUGAAUAGAGAUGAUAUACACAGCUAGAGGAAGACAGCAUUUGUUUGAUAUAGAGCAAGAGGAAGACAACAUUUGUGUGAUAGGAACAUAGAUGAUAUGUACACCAAAAAAAAAAAGAUAACAUUUGUAUGAUAGAAACACACAUUAUAUAUACAACUAUAGGAAGAAGUAUUUCACUGUUUUUAUUUUAUUUUAUUGUCUUAAGGUUAAAUAUAAAGACAAUUCACAUGUA